GACGAACGCUGGCGGCGUGCUUAACACAUGCAAGUCGUACGGUAAGGCCCUUUCGGGGGUACACGAGUGGCGAACGGGUGAGUAACACGUGAGUAACCUGCCCACAACUUUGGGACAACGCUAGGAAACUGGUGCUAAUACUGGAUAUGUGCUCCUGCUGCAUGGUGGGGGUUGGAAAGCUCCGGCGGUUGUGGAUGGACUCGCGGCCUAUCAGCUUGUUGGUGGGGUAGUGGCCUACUAAGGCGGCGACGGGUAGCCGGCCUGAGAGGGUGACCGGCCACAUUGGGACUGAGAUACGGCCCAGACUCCUACGGGAGGCAGCAGUGGGGAAUAUUGCACAAUGGGCGCAAGCCUGAUGCAGCAACGCCGCGUGCGGGAUGACGGCCUUCGGGUUGUAAACCGCUUUCAGCAGGGACGAAGCUUUUUGUGACGGUACCUGCAGAAGAAGCACCGGCUAACUACGUG
rnacentral:rRNA from 1 species